CGCUGGUCAAGAUCCUGCCUGCAUCCAUCCUGAUCCACCAGCUAAGCUUCCCUUCCUCCAGGCCAGCCUGGUGUUUAACAGGCCUGACUCCAAGAGAGACACAGACACGCACGGCAAACCACCACACAGUUCUUCAUGGAAGGGAGUCAGGGCAGGAACUUAAACAAGGAAGAACAAGGACAAAACGUGGAACAGAGACUGAAGGAAGAACCAUCCAGGGACUGCCCCACCUGGGGAUCCAUCCUGUCUUCAGACAUCAAACCCGACAAUGUUGCCAUUGGCAAGAGUCACUUGCUGACAGGAAUCUGCUAUGACUGCUCCUUGGGAGGUUCAGCCAGCAUCUGACCAAUACAGAUGUGGAUGUUUGGAGCCAACCAUCAGACUGGGUUCAGGAACCCUGGUGGGGGAGAUGGCAGAAGGAUUGGAGGAGCUGAGGGGGAUUGUAACCCCAUAGGAAGAACAACAUCAGCUGGUCAGAUCAUGCAGUGCUUCCAGGGACUAGACCACCAACUAAGGAGUGUACAGGGAGGGAUCCAUGGCUCCAGAUACAUAGGUAGAAGAGAAUAGCCUUGUCUGACAUCAAUGAGAGUAGAGACC
rnacentral:lncRNA from 1 species